GACGAACGCUGGCGGCGUGCUUAACACAUGCAAGUCGAACGGAAAGGCCCUGCUUUUGUGGGGUGCUCGAGUGGCGAACGGGUGAGUAACACGUGAGUAACCUGCCCUGGACUUUGGGAUAACUUCAGGAAACUGGGGCUAAUACCGGAUAGGAGCUCCUGCUGCAUGGUGGGGGUUGGAAAGUUUCGGCGGUUGGGGAUGGACUCGCGGCUUAUCAGCUUGUUGGUGUGGUAGUGGCUUACCAAGGCUUUGACGGGUAGCCGGCCUGAGAGGGUGACCGGCCACAUUGGGACUGAGAUACGGCCAAGACUCCUACGGGAGGCAGCAGUGGAGAAUAUUGCACAAUGGGCGGAAGCCUGAUGCAGCAACGCCGCGUGCGGGAUGACGGCCUUAGGGUUGUAACCCGCUUUCGCCUGUGACGAAGCGUGAGUGACGGUAAUGGGUAAAGAAGCACCGGCUAACUACGUG
rnacentral:rRNA from 1 species